rnacentral:rRNA from 1 species
CACGUAGGGCGCAAGCGUUGUCCGGAAUUAUUGGGCGUAAAGAGCUCGUAGGUGGUUUGUUACGUCUGCUGUGAAAACCUAGGGCUUAACCCUGGGCUUGCAGUGGAUACGGGCAGACUAGAGGUAGGUAGGGGAGAAUGGAAUUCCUGGUGUAGCGGUGAAAUGCGCAGAUAUCAGGAGGAACACCGGUGGCGAAGGCGGUUCUCUGGGCCUUACCUGACACUGAGGCACGAAAGCGUGGGGAGCAAACAGG